UGAAGGAACGUUGAAGACGACGACGUUGAUAGGUCGGGUGUGUAAGCGCAGCGAUGCGUUGAGCUAACCGAUACUAAUGAACCGUGAGGCUUAACCUUACAACGCCGAAGC
rnacentral:rRNA from 2 species